ensembl:lncRNA
CAAAUCACAAUAUAGAAAUACAACAUAUGAAUGAACAAAUAUAACCCUUGUUUUUACAGGUACACUGAACCCCCCCCAAGUGAUGUCAUACCCAACAUGGUUUCUCCCAAUCAGACGGUGUGUCCACCAUGCUUAAAUACUUCAGGUUUAAAACAAUUCAGGUUUGACCACUAGUAUAUUACAAGGAGGUAAGUUAUAUUUGUUAUACUGUGCGACCUAAUCUUAAAUAAAGACUUUAACAAAGACAUAUGUGUAUUGUGGUUAUAAUGAAAAUGAAUGAAAAAUGUCACGGCUAAUAUUACCCAACACCUUGUGCAUACAUCAACUAUUCGUAAUGAACAAAAUACACAUCGUACCCUGACUUAUCUUAAACACAUAAUACACAAUACAUUCGAAUACCCACAGGCAUUAUACAGGUCCGUGUAUACAUGAUGUCAGUGCCGGCAAACAGACCAUGUUAAUGAUGCAUGCAGUGUAUGUGUGUGUGUGUAUGUGUGUGUGCUAGAUAUGGUGUACGUGCAUACAGUCCAUUUAUGAUCACGGGGUUGCUCCGUGACAGCUACCAUGAGUCCUUUGUUUUGCCUACAGUGAAACAUCCUGAGACCAUACAUGUGUGGGUUAGCUUUUAAACCAAAGGAGUGGGCUCUCUCAUAAUUCUGCCCAAAAACACUGCCAUGAAUAAAGAAUGGUAUCAAAACAUCCUGGAAAAGCGACUUCUUUCAACGAUCCAUGAGCAAUUUGGUGAUAAUCUGUGCAUUUUCCAGCAUGAUGGAGCACCAUGUCACAAGGCAAGAGUGUUAAAGAAGUGGCUUGAAGAUUAUUAAAUUGAAAUUUUGGAUCUGUGGCCAGGCAACUCCCAGGAUUUCAAUUCCAAAGGGAACCUGUGGUAAGUCCUGAAAAGGUGAGUGUACAAGCAGAAGCCCACAAAUUGUGAUCAACUCCGAGAUCUAAUAAGUCAAGAAUGGAUGGCCAUCAGUAGGGUUGGGUAUUGAAAACCAGUUCCAUUUUAGAACCGGUUCCAAAUGUCCAAGAACCAGGUAUUUGAUAAGAAGCAUGCAUUUUGAUUCUGCUUAAUGAUUCCUGUGUUCACAUUUUAAUGUGAUUUAAAACGAUUUAAUUGCAGGAAUGGAAAGAACUUGCAC